UACGUAGGGGCCUAGCGUUGUCCGGAAUUACUGGGCUUAAAGAGUUCGUAGGCGGCGCAGCAAGUAGGGUGUGAAAGCCCUCGGCCCAACCGAGGAAUUGCGCUCUAAACUACUGUGCUUGAGGAAGCUAGAGGUGAGCAGAACAGAUGGUGGAGCGGUGAAAUGCGUUGAUAUCAUCUGGAAUACCGGAGGCGAAGGCGGCUCACUGGGGCUUUUCUGACGCUGAGGAACGAAAGCCAGGGUAGCGAACGGG
rnacentral:rRNA from 1 species